rnacentral:rRNA from 2 species
UGAAGGGUGCAGCCAAUUGUGUUAAAUAUUGCAAAUUGCAGAAUUCCGUGAGUCAAUGUUUGCUUGAAUGUAGAAAUGUACUUGGGUAUCACCUUGGUACAUCAUUUGUUCAUGUUGGUGUUGUUUCUAUGUUGUCUUCCAUGCCAUAUUGGAUGUGGA